UGAAUCACCAUAUCUUAUAUCUGUUAAAGGAGAAAGAAAGGUUGCUGACAGACAUCAUCUUGGGAAUAAUGUGACAUCUCAGUUUUCCUAGCCAAACAUGAAGGCACAUUGGGACUAUGCUGCAAAUGAACUAUAACUGUGCUAAAUGACUUAAGAGAUUCCCCAGGAGUAUUUUAUUAGCCCUGCCUGGACUUCAGCGAUGUACAAACUGGAAUAAACUGUGUUUCUUAAAAACCCAACGGAGCAAAUGAUUUUUGUUCUUUUCCACAGAUGCCCUUUAGCCUUGCCUCCAUGAACCUAAGAAAAUAGUGUCCUUUUAGCGUAUCCAAUGAUGUGAAAAUCCAGUGCAGCAAAGAGAAGAAAUUUUAACAUCAUCAUUUUGAUUGAUAAACUGUGUUUGUUAUCAAGCUGAAUCUAGCCGACAAAGACACAAAAUAAAAAAAUAAACAACA